GCCGGCGUGGCAGAGAUUGGCCAAACGCGACCGACUUAAGAUCGGUUCAUCCCGCCCGGAUGUCGUUGGGUUCAAAUCCCACCGCCGGCG
rnacentral:tRNA from 1 species